UACGUAGGGUGCAAGCGUUGUCCGGAAUUAUUGGGCGUAAAGAGCUCGUAGGCGGCUUGUCGCGUCGGCUGUGAAAACCUGGGGCUCAACCCCGGGCCCUGCAGCCGAUACGGGCAAGCUAGAAUUCGGUAGGGGAGACUGGAAUUCCUGGUGUAGCGGUGAAAUGCGCAGAUAUCAGGAGGAACACCGGUGGCGAAGGCGGGUCUCUGGGCCGAUAUUGACGCUGAGGAGCGAAAGCGUGGGGAGCGAACAGG
rnacentral:rRNA from 1 species